rnacentral:rRNA from 1 species
UGAUUUGAAGAGCUUGCUCAGAUAUGACGAUGGACAUUGCAAAGAGUGGCGAACGGGUGAGUAACACGUGGGAAACCUACCUCUUAGCAGGGGAUAACAUUUGGAAACAGAUGCUAAUACCGUAUAACAAUGACAACCGCAUGGUUGUUAUUUAAAAGAUGGUUCUGCUAUCACUAAGAGAUGGUCCCGCGGUGCAUUAGCUAGUUGGUAAGGUAAUGGCUUACCAAGGCGAUGAUGCAUAGCCGAGUUGAGAGACUGAUCGGCCACAAUGGGACUGAGACACGGCCCAUACUCCUACGGGAGGCAGCAGUAGGGAAUCUUCCACAAUGGGCGAAAGCCUGAUGGAGCAACGCCGCGUGUGUGAUGAAGGGUUUCGGCUCGUAAAACACUGUUGUAAGAGAAGAAUGACAUUGAGAGUAACUGUUCAAUGUGUGACGGUAUCUUACCAGAAAGGAACGGCUAAAUACGUGCCAGCAGCCGCGGUAAUACGUAUGUUCCAAGCGUUAUCCGGAUUUAUUGGGCGUAAAGCGAGCGCAGACGGUUAUUUAAGUCUGAAGUGAAAGCCCUCAGCUCAACUGAGGAAUUGCUUUGGAAACUGGAUGACUUGAGUGCAGUAGAGGAAAGUGGAACUCCAUGUGUAGCGGUGAAAUGCGUAGAUAUAUGGAAGAACACCAGUGGCGAAGGCGGCUUUCUGGACUGUAACUGACGUUGAGGCUCGAAAGUGUGGGUAGCAAACAGGAUUAGAUACCCUGGUAGUCCACACCGUAAACGAUGAGUGCUAGGUGUUUGAGGGUUUCCGCCCUUAAGUGCCGCAGCUAACGCAUUAAGCACUCCGCCUGGGGAGUACGACCGCAAGGUUGAAACUCAAAGGAAUUGACGGGGACCCGCACAAGCGGUGGAGCAUGUGGUUUAAUUCGAAGCAACGCGAAGAACCUUACCAGGUCUUGACAUCCCUUGACAACUCCAGAGAUGGAGCGUUCCCUUCGGGGACAAGGUGACAGGUGGUGCAUGGUUGUCGUCAGCUCGUGUCGUGAGAUGUUGGGUUAAGUCCCGCAACGAGCGCAACCCUUAUUACUAGUUGCCAGCAUUCAGUUGGGCACUCUAGUGAGACUGCCGGUGACAAACCGGAGGAAGGUGGGGAUGACGUCAAAUCAUCAUGCCCCUUAUGACCUGGGCUACACACGUGCUACAAUGGCGUAUACAACGAGUUGCCAACCCGCGAGGGUGAGCUAAUCUCUUAAAGUACGUCUCAGUUCGGAUUGUAGGCUGCAACUCGCCUACAUGAAGUCGGAAUCGCUAGUAAUCGCGGAUCAGCACGCCGCGGUGAAUACGUUCCCGGGUCUUGUACACACCGCCCGUCACACCAUGAGAGUUUGUAACACCCAAAGCCGGU